ensembl:lncRNA
GUAGGUUAGUGUAUGAUAGAUAGGCCAGUUGAGAACAAGUUCUUAUUUACAACUGCGACCUGGCCAAGAUAAAGCAAAGCAGUGAGACACAAACAACAACACAGAGUUACACAUGGAGUAAACAAACGUACAGUCAAUAACACAGAAGAAAGUCUAUAUACAGUGAAUUGUGAAACAUAAAUGUGAUCUGAUUUCAGGUGACACAAUGGCUGCUGCCAAAUGGAUGAUAAGCAUGGAGAAGGAGGUGGUGAUGUCGGCAUGGAGAAGGAGGUGGUGAUGUCGGCAUGGAGAAGGAGGUGGUGAUGUCGGCAUGGAGAAGGAGGUGGUGAUGUCGGCAUGGAGAAGGAGGCGGUGAUGACGGUCCACUCCAACUGGCAGCUUCUUUUCUCCUCAUUCUACACCUUCAGUCUGCAGUACCAAGGAGGAGGCUUCACCUUAGAGUUCAUCCAAAGAUGUUUUGCUGGAAUCAAUCCAUCCGCCGCAGCAGAGAUCCUCAGCAAGAAAACACAAAGUAGUGGAGAAGAAGAGACAUAAUUAAUGUACGUCUGUACUCUGCUCAGGAAGAUAAUGGACUUUGAACAACUAUAGGCUAGUUCCUCCUGGGCCAAUACGUCUGUACUCUGCUCAGGAAGAUAAUGCUCAGGAAGAUAAUGGACUUUGAACAACUACAGGCUAGUUCCUCCUGGGCCAAACAUUUCAGUUAUUUUAGUCAGUUGUGACCUGCUCAAGUAAGUUAAGUGGUUUGUCACUGGGGUUGACUCUUUUUUGGGGUUUUACACCUUGUGUUUGAAAAUGAUCCAGUAUGAACUGAAAUGGACACAUUGUUGAGGAAGUAAUGCUACUUGGGAUGUUUGGAAAUAUCUGGCAUUUACUCAACUUGAGUAGGCAACACUUAUUAAGGCUUGGGUAUGUAGUUUUGGGAAAGGCAUAAUUAGAAAUCUGGGAAUAAGACAAAAUAUCCACCGAGAUCUUUUCUAACCAUAAUCUCACAUGAUUAAAAAGUCCAACGACCCUUACCAAUACUACAUAUUCUGUGUUUAACCUGGGAGUGAAGGUAAUGACAAGCCUCCUAAUAAAAUGCUAAUUAAUUACUUAAAAAUCAUACAAUGUAAUUUUCUGGAUUUUAGAUUCCGUCUCUCACAGUUGUAGUGUACCUAUGAUAAAAAUUACAGACCUCUACAUGCUUUGUAUGUAGGAAAACCUGCAAAAUCGGCAGUGUAUCUCCCCACUGUAUAUUUGUUUUAAGCUCAAAGUGAGGCAAUGCAAUUUCUGAGUUACCUUUAUCUGAAAGGUUACUUUCAUUUCAAAAGCUAAGAUACAUACAGUAAACCAGUACCGUUCUUAUCUGUAGUUCUGUCACUUUCUGAACCAGUUAUAAACACGCCCCUUUUUCAGGACCUUGAUCGAUUCUGAAGAUGGAUACAUUUGAAACCCUUUUGUUGAAACAAAAUGGCUCUGUUAUCUGACUGCAGAAUAGCCUUGUGACAAACUAUCAUUGUUUUUAUGUCACAUACAAGCUGGAAUAUCAUUAAACAUUUUGCAAAUUUUUUCCAUUUGUAAAGGAAGAUGCUUCUCAGUUUUGUAGAUGGGGUGGUUAAAUCCAUCCUAACUAAUGCUGGAAACCCUUGAUUUGGUGAAGUUAUAUUAUACCAAUACUAAACCUGCUCUUCCACAG